UUUGUCUCUUCUUCUCCUCCAGCUGGUUAAUACCGGUUGUGUUUGUCUCUUCUUCUCCUCCAGCUGGUCCAGAGGUUAAUACCAGUUGUGUUUGUCUCUUCUUCUCCUCCAGCUGGUUAAUACCGGUUGUGUUUGUCUCUUCUUCUCCUCCAGCUGGUCCAGAGGUUAAUACCGGUUGUGUUUGUCUCUUCUUCUCCUCCAGCUGGUUAAUACCGGUUGUGUUUGUCUCUUCUUCUCCUCCAGCUGGUUAAUACCGGUUGUGUUUGUCUCUUCUUCUCCUCCAGCUGGUUAAUACCGGUUGUGUUUGUCUCUUCUUCUCCUCCAGCUGGUUAAUACCGGUUGUGUUUGUCUCUUCUUCUCCUCCAGCUGGUUAAUACCGGUUGUGUUUGUCUCUUCUUCUCCUCCAGCUGGUUAAUACUGGUUGUGUUUGUCUCUUCUUCUCCUCCGGCUGGUCCAGAGGUUAAUACCGGUUGUGUUUGUCUCUUCUUCUCCUCCAGCUGGUUAAUACCGGUUGUGUUUGUCUCUUCUUCUCCUCCAGCUGGUUAAUACCGGUUGUGUUUGUCUCUUCUUCUCCUCCAGCUGGUUAAUACCGGUUGUGUUUGUCUCUUCUUCUCCUCCAGCUGGUUAAUACCGGUUGUGUUUGUCUCUUCUUCUCCUCCAGCUGGUUAAUACCGGUUGUGUUUGUCUCUUCUUCUCCUCCGGCUGGUUAAUACCGGUUGUGUUUGUCUCUUCUUCUUCUCCAGCUGGUUAAUACCGGUUGUGUUUGUCUCUUCUUCUCCUCCAGCUGGUUAAUACCGGUUGUGUUUGUCUCUUCUUCUCCUCCAGCUGAUCCAGAGGUUAAUACUGGUUGUGUUUGUCUCUUCUUCUCCUCCGGCUGGUUAAUACCGGUUGUGUUUGUCUCUUCUUCUCCUCCAGCUGGUUAAUACCUGUUGUGAUUGUCUCUUCUUCUCCUCCAGCUGGUUAAUACCGGUUGUGUUUGUCUCUUCUUCUC